ACUCUAUAUUAAUAGCGCUGGCUUGCCAGCUAUGGUGAUAAACGGCUUGUGUAAUAAGCAUAGUGGACCCGGGGGCAGUACCCGGCGCCUCCACCAAUAUUGAGUGUGGUCUUAAUUUGACGAGACCAAGUGAGCAGUAUGGGGGCGAAACAGGAUCGACACGUGCCUAAAGACUUGCUUUUUGCCCGGUAUGGUUCCGCCGUUAGCGGGCCGUUUUUACAAGUGCCAAUGAUAACGAUUUGGCCCUCGCUGCCUAAUUAUUAGGAAAGCGCGGUUCGGGGGGCACCGGGCAACAGAAGUCCCUCCACAUCUCCACUUUGGCAUCACGUACGGAUUUUCAACAUUAGU
rnacentral:tmRNA from 1 species